CCCCUCCAGAUAUUUCUCCCGCAUCCGCCUCUUGCUCCUCCCCCACUCUCUCCCUCGUCUCCCUCGCUUAGAUCCGUCCGCACCCGCAGCCAUCAUCGUCAGCCACCGCGCUCCACCACGGCCACCGACGCCCCCGCAUCCAUCCGCAGUUCCCGCCAGUUACGUCCUGCUCCCCUACGUUGCCUGCGCCAAUGGGCUCGAGCCGGGCGCCUCUCCUUCGUGCGGGACGAGGUCGUCUUCAACCUCGAGGAGUCGCCGCCGCCUUCGAAUUCCGGCCACACCGAGCCUCCCUCGAGCACGCUUCGCACAACUACGGGCUCGCGACUCAGAGACCGCUGCCGAUGUCCGUGUGUUCGACUACAUCG